UGACGUUUGUGUUUCUUCAGGAGGUAUGUACACUGGUUUUCUUUAGCUAGUCUAUUAAGCUGCUGUAUGCUUCCAGUUGCUUUGUGCUUUCUUCAUUUGCACCUUUUCUUUGUUUCAUUUAACAGAUAUUUCAUUUCAUAAAAAUGAAAAUGGUUUUACGUCUGAGUCAUUGUUUGUUCAUUUGAACUGGUUUGACAUUUGCUGCGUUGUUGUGCUGCGCUCACAAUGGGCUUGUGAUGUUUGUGAGACACUUACGGUCCGCUUUCUGCGUUGCCAUGGAGUCGACGGUGUUAGUUAAACUUGGGAUGUUUCAUUGGUCUCUGCUGCACCCGUGUGAUCAGUUGAAGUAAUGCAGCUCUCCAGUCUUCACAUGCUAUGGACGCAAAUGUGCUCGCUUAUUGAUUUGUACAUUUUGAUAGAACUUAAUAAAACAAAUAAGCAAGAAAACUGGAAGAGUGGAAACCUUAAUGUAAGCAAAAUUGUUUGUGAGAUGAGUUUUUUUUUUUAAAGCUAUUUGAUAACUUGCAUUUUGUUUUCUAGGCAAUAAAAGAUUGACAUAGAUAUUUAUUUAUCGGUGAAGAACACUAAUUUUUUACAAAAUGUUUUUGUUCUCUUGUUACUUUUGCUCUUACCACGAAGACGACGAAAAAGAAUCAUUUGGAAACUUACGAAACGACUUAAAGGGAUAGUUCACCCUAAAAUGAAAUUCGGUCAUAAUUUAUUUACCCUCAUUUCAAACCUUCUGCAGAACACAAAAGAAGAUAUUUUGAAGAAUGUUGGUAGCUGAACAAUAUCGCUCCCCAUUCUCCUCUAUUGUAUGAACACAAAACCAAUGCAAGUCAAUGGGUGUCAGUUAACAACAUUCUUCAAAAUAUCAUCUUUUGUGCUCACAAGUUUGACAUUUUCAUUUCUGGGUGAACGAUCACUUUAAAGCACAUCAAAGCCAUACAGUUUAUCAUUAUGUGCCUUCUCUAUGACAUUGUCGUUGCUAGUGCCAUUCUCUACCAGCUGAGCUACAGAAACACUUUAUUUUCUUACUAAUGUACUCACUAACAUCUGAUUCAGUGGGUUUCUUAACAUGUAUGCUAAUGGGGUGUGUUUAGGUGAGACGAAUUUUGUGCCAUCCAUCUGCUAAUGUGAGCGUACAUGUGUCUGUCUGCUGCUCUGCAUCAGUCUUCAUCUUGCAAACGUGUCUCUGCUCUCCAAAUUCAUCAGAGUUACCAAUACGCUUUCUAAACAAUGACAUCAUCAGUAUGCUUGUAUCUGACCCACAGGGGGACGUGUGAAAACGUGGAAGAGGAGAUGGUUCAUUUUGACGGACAACUGUCUCUAUUACUUUGAGUACACCACGGAUAAAGAGCCAAGAGGGAUCAUUCCUCUGGAAAAUCUCAGUAUUAGGGAAGUGGAGGACUCCAAGAAGCCAAAUUGCUUUGAACUCUUCAUCCCUGACAACAAGGAUCAGGUCAUAAAAGCGUGUAAAACCGAAGCAGACGGACGGGUUGUGGAGGGAAAUCACACCUUCUACCGCAUCUCAGCCCCGACCACAGAGGAGAAGGAGGAGUGGAUGAACAGCAUCAAGGCUGCCAUAAGCAGAGAUCCUUUCUAUGAAAUGCUUGCUGCCCGGAAAAAGAAAGCCUCAUCUUUGAAGAGACAGUAGGACCUCUUAUACUGUAUUUGAACAUGGAUAUUCAAGGCCAUGAACAGGAUCUUUGUACAUGGACCUGAAGAAGGAAAAGGGCAAAUGAAACGCGAAAGCCAUAACGUUGGAUCGGACCGUUUUUCUCAGGAAUGACCUUGAGUUUUGAAGUUUAUCAGAGCAAGUAUUCUGCGAAGUUGCGUUACAAUUAUACGUUUAAUGCUUUCAAGAACUGCACAUGGAAAGAAUACUCGUGCACAUCAUCACAAAUCAGCAGGUCUGAGUGAAUGUGGCAUCUCAUUAACCUUUUAUAAGCUUGCUGCAGACACGACUGUUUCUCUUUGUGCUUUGAUACAUAUACAAAUGCUUCAUGUGCACCUAUUUUUACACUGCUAUGUAAAUUUCUGGGAAGGCUUGGUCCCUGGUUUGUUAGAGACUGUCUGACGGCAUCGUGUUUGUACAUUUAUUUUUUUGUUUUUAAAUUUGCCAAAGUUUGUCAUUUUGUCCCACUCCCGUGUGAUAAUUAACACCGCUGUAAUGAGUGUUUUUCUGAUCCAUGAAUUGAAAAUUAUAGUUUAAUUUUGGUUCUGUUUAUUUGGCUUAAACAGUUAUUUAAGAGUAGUUCUGUACCGCUCUUCACUUAUCUCAUAGGUGGCCUUGAAAGACUGUGAAAAUUGAAAAAAUAUCUUUAGUAUGCUUCAUAUUUAUGAAACAAUGUAAACGCUGUUACAGAAUCGAACUACUGAUUUAAACGUUUAUUUUUCUUAGGUUUUGUAUUUUGCCACCUUUAAAUGUAUUUCUUAAAUUAAUGUAUAUGUAAGCCCCCCCCAAACAAAACAAAACACACACACUUUUUUCUUAUAUGCACUGAUAAUUUAAGUCUCUCAAUUACUAAUGUAUCAAUGCUGUACAUAUUUAAACAUAUAGUUUGUUUUUAUUUUUUAAUGUCAAAAUAUACUUUGUGCAAAAGUAUGGAGUAAAGAAAAGGUUUUUGCCUGUUAAGUUUAUUUCUCCAUUGCUGUGUAAUCUUGUGCUUAAAAUAAAGUUGAUAUCUUAAGCUUA